GCCCUGGUGACUUAAUGGUUAAGCAUUUGGCUGCUAACCAAAAGGUCAGUGGUUCAAAUCCACCAGUGGCU
rnacentral:tRNA from 1 species